rnacentral:rRNA from 1 species
UACUAGCGGUCCAAGUCGCAGCCAUAUUUAUUGGGUCUAAAACAUCCGUAGCUUGUCAAGUAAGUUUCUUAUGAAAUCCUGGGUCUUAAACUCAGGGCGUGUAGGAAGUACUGCUUAGCUAGAGACCGGAAGACGCAGGAAGUACGUUUAAAGUAACGGUAAAAUGUGUUGAUCUUAAACGGACUAACAAUAGCGAAGGCAUCCUGCGAGGACGGUUCUGACAGUAAGGGAUGAAGGCUAGGGGCGCAAAACGGAUUAGAUACCCUCGUA